CCUGUUCCCAUCCCGAACACAGCAGUUAAGCCCUUCAGCGGUGAUGGUACUGCCACAUCUCGUGGUGGGAGAGUAACUCGCCGCCAAGA
rnacentral:rRNA from 1 species